rnacentral:snoRNA from 1 species
AUCCCAUGAUGAGGACACUUACGAAGUAACUCCUUGAAUCUUUCCCUUGCCUCAUACAAAGAUUCUUUAUCUAAUUUUUGGAAAGUUUUUAUCUGAUUAC